rnacentral:rRNA from 1 species
UACGUAGGCAGCAAGCGUUUGUUCGGAGUUACUGGGCGUAAAGGGUGCGUAGGCGGCCCUGUAAGUAUGGUGUGAAAUCUCCCGGCUUAACUGGGAGGGUGCGCUAUAGACUGCGGGGCUCGAGUGUGGGAGAGGAAAGUGGAAUUCCUGGUGUAGCGGUGAAAUGCGUAGAUAUCAGGAGGAACACCGGUGGUGUAAACGGCUUUCUGGACCAUAACUGACGCUGGAGGCACGAAAGCGUGGGUAGCAAACAGG